rnacentral:rRNA from 2 species
GAUUUCUGGUUCGGCGCACUUGGCCCGUCUCGGUUUACGGGAUUGCGUGCCGGUGUGCGCCAUCCAUCCUUCGAGAGAACACUUCUACCCUCACGGGCUGGAGUGCUAUCUCGAUCUUUUACUUUGAAAAAAUUAGAGUGUUUAAAGCAGGCUUUUGCUAUGAAUACAUUAGCAUGGAAUAAUAAUCUAGGACUUCGGUUCUAUUUUGUUGGUUUCUAUAACUGAAGUAAUGAUUGAUAGGGAUAGUUGGGGGUGCUAGUAUUGGCCGGCCAGAGGUGAAAUUCUUGGAUUCGGUCAAGACUAACUUAUGCGAAAGCAUU